AAAUGAGCCAGCCACUAACAGAAUAAAGCAUGCCCUAUUUUCCCAAGGCAGGAAACUUGUGUCUUUGAUUUGCAUAGGCUUCCUCCUUCCCCUUUAGUUUUCAUUCAUUACUAAGCUCUUUCAGACUUGUUUUCCACGAAUCGGAGACAUUAUCUCUCCACCUGCCUACCUACAGAGGAAGAGGGAACCUUUUAGAGGAUGAUGGAGAAGUUGGUUGUGAAAAUGUGAUUCAUAUGACUAGCAAAGCUUAUGAUUUGCGGCGCUCUGGUUGACAGAGCUGGUUGGUUGCCUUUGUUCCUGUCUGUCAGGGCCAUUGCAACAGCAAGGAGAAUGGGCAAGGUAAAUUUACUUGCAUGGAGACCUAAGGGUAUGCCAGCUGAAAGGAUGCACUGCUCUCUGCACUGAACUACUGCAAAUACACAAGGAGAAUGAGACAAGAAGAAGACAUCAGAAGGCA